CCAAGAGGGAUGCAUUACAAACUCUGAAUAGUGGCUCCUUUCUUUGCCACAGUGUUGCUGACUAGGAUGAAGGUGAGAGGAGAAGGCUGGAAGGAUGAAAUCUCUUGCCUGUGGAUGGCUGUCAAUCAACUCCAGAUGGAAGAAAAAUAUUUAUCUAGGCCAGAGGCUACUCCAGCCAAUGCAUCUGGGGACAGAGAGAGAUCAUCAGGGGACACGGGUUCGAGCCCUGAUCUGGGAAGAUCCC